rnacentral:sRNA from 1 species
GCGACAGCCGAGAAGCAGAAACACGACGGGCGGGUGAAGAUCGGCCACUACAUUCUGGGUGACACGCUGGGGGUUGGCACCUUCGGCAAAGUGAAGGUUGGCAAACAUGAAUUGACUGGGCAUAAAGUAGCUGUGAAGAUACUCAAUCGACAGAAGAUUCGGAGCCUUGAUGUGGUAGGAAAAAUCCGCAGAGAAAUUCAGAACCUCAAGCUUUUCAGGCAUCCUCAUAUAAUUAAACUGUAAGCUCUGUUUAUAUUAAAUAUAGUCCAGUCAUCUUUUCAUCUUUUUUGUUAACCUACUUAAUGUGACAAGUGAGAAAAAUGACUGACACUUCUUUUUGUUUCCUAAGGGUUUUGAAAAGUUUCUUCCUAGGCUGUGUGCGGUGGCUCACACCUGUAAUUCCAGUACUUUGGGAGGCUGAGGCAGGCAGAUCACCUGAGGUCAGGAGUUCGAGACCAGCCUGGCCAACAUGGUGAAACCCUGUCUCCAGUAAAAAUACAAAAAUUAGCUGGGCAUGGUGGUGGGCGCCUGUAAUACCAGCUACUCGGGAGGCUAAGGCAGGAGAAUGGCUUGAACCUGGGAGGCGGAGGUUGCAGUGAGCUGAGAUCGUGCCAUUGCACUCCAGCUUGGGCAACAAAAGCGAAACUCUGUCCCAAAAAAAAAUAAAA